GACGUAGGAUGCAAGCGUUAUCCGGAAUUAUUGGGCGUAAAGAGUUCGUAGACGAACUGUUAAGUAGAAUGUUAAAGACCAGGGCCUAACCCUGGGAAUGUGUUCUAAACUGGCAGAAUAGAGCAAUUCAGAGGCAAGUAGAAUUCUGUGUGUAGGGGUAAUAUCCGUAGAUAUACAGAGGAAUACCAAAAGCGAAGGCAGCUUGCUGGGAAUUUGCUGACGUUCAAGAACGAAAGCGUGGGGAGCAAACAGG
rnacentral:rRNA from 1 species